rnacentral:tRNA from 1 species
GGGGGUAUAGCUCAGUGGUAGACCACCCGCAUACGUAUCGGAAGGUCGGGGGUUCGACUCCCUCUGCCUCCA